UACGGAAGGGGCUAGUGUUGUUCGGAAUUACUGGGCGUAAAGAGCGCGUAGGCGGCUUACCAAGUUGGGGGUGAAAUCCCUGAGCUCAACUCCGGAACUGCCUUCAAAACUGGUAGGCUCGAGUCCGGGAGAGGGGCGUGGAAUUCCCAGUGUAGAGGUGAAAUUCGUAGAGAUUGGGAAGAACACCGGUGGCGAAGGCGGCGCCCUGGUCCGAUACUGACCCUGAGGCACGAAAGCGUGGGGUGCUAACAGG
rnacentral:rRNA from 1 species